UACGUAGGGCGCAAGCGUUGUCCGGAAUUCUUGGGCGUAAAGAGCUCGUAGGUGGUUUGUUACGUCUGCUGUGAAAACCUAGGGCUUAACCCUGGGCCUGCAGUGGAUACGGGCAGACUAGAGGUAGGUAGGGGAGAAUGGAAUUCCCGGUGUAGCGGUGAAAUGCGCAGAUAUCGGGAGGAACACCGGUGGCGAAGGCGGUUCUCUGGGCCUUACCUGACACUGAGGAGCGAAAGCGUGGGGAGCGAACAGG
rnacentral:rRNA from 1 species